rnacentral:rRNA from 1 species
GAUGAACGCUGGCGGCGUGCCUAAUACAUGCAAGUCGAGCGAAUGGAUUAAGAGCUUGCUCUUAUGAAGUUAGCGGCGGACGGGUGAGUAACACGUGGGUAACCUGCCCAUAAGACUGGGAUAACUCCGGGAAACCGGGGCUAAUACCGGAUAACAUUUUGAACCGCAUGGUUCGAAAUUGAAAGGCGGCUUCGGCUGUCACUUAUGGAUGGACCCGCGUCGCAUUAGCUAGUUGGGGAGGUAACGGCUCACCAAGGCAACGAUGCGUAGCCGACCUGAGAGGGUGAUCGGCCACACUGGGACUGAGACACGGCCCAGACUCCUACGGGAGGCAGCAGUAGGGAAUCUUCCGCAAUGGACGAAAGUCUGACGGAGCAACGCCGCGUGAGUGAUGAAGGCUUUCGGGUCGUAAAACUCUGUUGUUAGGGAAGAACAAGUGCUAGUUGAAUAAGCUGGCACCUUGAUGGUACCUAACCAGAAAGCCACGGCUAACUACAUGCCAGCCGCCGCCGUAA